ensembl:lncRNA
CUGAGAUGCUGUAAUCAUUCCCUAGCUUUGUUACUGCCUCUACCAAGCCGAGGUGAACCUGCACUUAGGGGAACACCCAUAACCACGGGGUGGUUCUCCCUUCUUGCUGCUUGGGUGUCAGAGACAUCCUCAUAAGGGUGCUGACUGAUCAUACAUUUCUCCAGUCAGAAAGCUAAUUAGAAAUAAACCAGAACACCGCCUCUUUUCCGUUAGAGUAGAACAUGGCUUCAAGUCCGAGUCAGUCCACAACCACCACCUGCUCCUGCCCCAUCUGCUUUCUGGCCGCUCUGGUGCCCUGCGUGGCACGUGAUGUCCAGUUGCAGAGAAGUUCAGAGAAGGGCUUGCCACAAAGCCGUGGGGGAAAUGCACACAAGCUUCCCCUUCCCCUCCGGGUCCCUGCUUGUCUUUUCAAGCUGGACCAUUUUUGAUUAAGUUGUUUAUUCUCUGCCUUAAAACUGAAACAGGAAAUCCUCAGCUUGAAGGAGGGUCAUUUAGUCAUGAACACUGAAGUGAGUCAAGGUUCCAUUCUAGGUCAAAUCCUUGAAUCCAAACAGAUGUUGAUAAUUAGCACUGAAGGACUAGAGUGAGUUUUUCCGUGGAAGACAAAUUAAUCAGAUUUCCUGUGCAUCUCUUCUGAGGGGUCUGAGGGCUUGCGGUUUCUGACUGCUCCUGACGGCUCCCAAGGUUACACCCCAUUGCGUGAUAUGUAUUACAGGGCCCACAUGUCUUCCCCUGGAGGAGUCAGGCAACACAUAAAAUCAGGCCUUAACUUUCUUCCUGUUCCAGCCAUCUACAAGACCACCAACUUAACUUUUUUGCUGCUAGAAGGCAAACACCAUAUCACCUCUUGGCAAAUUUUGUCCUAACGCACGUUUUGGGUUUCUUCCAGGUUAUAGGAAAAGCUCUGAUAUUCAUGAGGUACUCUUCACUCUACUCAGUGUGUUUAAAAACAAACAAAACUGCUGAGAAAAAAAUUGGAGGUUUCUGUUUUUCCUAUCUAGCCCACGCUGUCUUUGAGGUGUUUAGGUACACGGACUGCACCAUAAGCAUCUAGUUGGAAGAUGAAGGAGAAAUUGUCUCCUUCCUCCUAGAAAGUCACUCUGAGUGACAGGUACAUUAUAGACAUUGGAGAAACAGAGUUCCAGAUCCUACCAGGAUAUUUUCAUAAGAAAGGAAAAACGGAAGAGUCCAUUCAGCUAGAAACACUCAGUGUCAAAAAGGCCGAGGUGGAAGUCGAUGUCUUUUUCUUUUCGGUUGAUCAAGAAAGAUGGUCAGUAAAACGUCAAGGUGUGGUUAGAUUUUUUUUUUUCACUUUUGUAACAUUAAUUUAUGACUGAGUUUCAUUCAACCCAGUAAUCUGAAAUACUGUGCAAAUCCUAGCUGUUUCCACUAUAACCUGGAUGUUAGAAUAGCCAAUAUGUACAAAAAGGAAAAAAAAAUUAAAUCAAGUAUUUUGUCCUAUGUAUAACACAAAUUAAUUUUACACAGAGAAAGAUGUUUCUAGGAAAAUGAAAUUCUGGUAAUUCAUACUAUUUCUUUGUAUGAACAAAUAAAAUAUAUUUUACCAACUCGUGGGUAUUUCUGUGUUUUAUUGUGUGUUGUGGAUGGACAGGGAGGUGGCGGUUGUUGUUCAGUCACUAAGUCAUGCCCACAUCUUUGCAACCCCAUAGACUGCAGCGUGCCAGGCUCCCCUGUCCUCCACUUUCUCCUGGAGUUUGCUCAAAUUCACACCCAUUGAGUCCAUGAUGCUAUCUAACCAUCGUACCCUCUGGCACCUUCUUCCUUUUUCCUUCAGUCUUUCCCAGCAUCAGGGUCCAUAUCUUUAGCAAACAACCUGUUUUCUAUUAACAAAGCCACCAUCUCCAUGGUUAUAUGGAUUAUUAUUUACUACUUUAAACAUUCAAUUCAUUCUUCUACUUGAUAUUUUUGAAUUUUCAAUUGAGAUUUACUUUCUGGUUGCAUUUUACUUUAUUGUUAUUUUCUAAAAAUAUUUAUUUCUUUGCCUGUGGUCUUAUUUGGUCUUAGUUGCAGCAUGUGGGAUCUGGUUUCCCCACCAGGGAUCAAAGCUGGCCCCCUACAUUGGGAGACAGAGUCUUAG